GCUAGCGUCGGGCCGACUGCGGGGGUAGUAGGUAGGGGGGUGGGGUGGUCCGGAAGGUGUGGGCGUAAAGCGCGCGUCGGCGGCCCUGUUAGUCCGCGGUAAAAGUCAAAGGCGCAACCGUUGAAUGCCGGUGGAUACUGCAGGGCUAGAGUCCGGAAGAGGCGAGUGGAACUCCGGGUGUAGCGGUGGAAUGCGCAGAUAUCAGGAAGAACACCAACGGCGAAGGCAGCUCGCUGGGACGGUACUGACGCUGAGGCGCGAAAGCGUGGGGAGCGAACAGGAUUAGAUACCCGAGUAGUC
rnacentral:rRNA from 1 species